GACGAACGCCGGCGGCGUGCUUAACACAUGCAAGUCGAACGGAAAGGCCCUGCUUUUGUGGGGUGCUCGAGUGGCGAACGGGUGAGUAACACGUGAGUAACCUGCCCUUGACUUUGGGAUAACUUCAGGAAACUGGGGCUAAUACCGGAUAGGAGCUCCCGCUGCAUGGUGGGGGUUGGAAAGUUUCGGCGGUUGGGGAUGGACUCGCGGCUUAUCAGCUUGUUGGUGGGGUAGUGGCUUACCAAGGCUUUGACGGGUAGCCGGCCUGAGAGGGUGACCGGCCACAGUGGGACUGAGAUACGGCCCAGACUCCUACGGGAGGCAGCAGUGGGGAAUAUUGCACAAUGGGCGGAAGCCUGAUGCAGCAACGCCGCGUGCGGGAUGACGGCCUUCGGGUUGUAACCCGCUUUCGCCUGUGACGAAGCGUGAGUGACGGUAAUGGGUAAAGAAGCACCGGCUAACUACGUG
rnacentral:rRNA from 1 species